AUUUAACUCCACAAUGAGAAAUAAAAUGUUUAAUCAAAUUUAAUGGGGAAUUAUUGAAGAGAGGUGCAUGUACAUCACAGAGGAGAAGCCUAUCUAGCACCUAUUGGCCAUCUCCGUGCUCCCCCCAUUAUCCAUUAGUGUUCUUCUCCUAGUCUCAGCUCCUCACUUCUCUCCUUUCUCCUGGAAAUUCCCAUCUAUGCAGCCUCUGGCCACUCUGGAUCCACUCUGCCUCCUGCCUCUCAGCCACACAGUAUGCCCAUUCUUCUGUGGCAUCAUUUAUCUCCCUCUGGUUUUCCCCAGUGUGAAUCCUCACACAUAUCACUUAACAUAGUAAGCAAGUCUCCAUCCGUCUUGAAAAAAAGAAGAAAAUGAUGAUGGAAUGGAAGAAAGAGAACUAAAGGAGAGCCAUCAAAUCAGACCAAAGCUAUCUGUCUCUUUGGAGAGACAACCUCUGGGCUCAUCCACUGCAUUACAUUCUUAGAGCUUGUAGAAGAGCAGUUAUUAAAUAUUUUCAAGGCUACAGACUCCUUCAAGAAUUGAUAAAAGCUAUA
rnacentral:lncRNA from 1 species